UACGAAGGGGGCUAGCGUUGCUCGGAAUUACUGGGCGUAAAGGGAGCGUAGGCGGACAUUUAAGUCAGAGGUGAAAUCCCGGAGCUUAACUUCGGAACUGCCUUUGAUACUGGGUGUCUUGAGUGUGAGAGAGGUAUGUGGAACUCCGAGUGUAGAGGUGAAAUUCGUAGAUAUUCGGAAGAACACCAGUGGCGAAGGCGACAUACUGGCUCAUUACUGACGCUGAGGCUCGAAAGCGUGGGGGAGCAAACAGG
rnacentral:rRNA from 1 species